UACUGAGAUUAUUUUCUUUUUUCUUUUUAUCCAGGCUGCAGUCUGGGUAUGCAAAAAACCCACCACCAUGCUGAAGUAAACUAGGCCUAUGACUGGUCAGUAGAUGGAAGAAUUUGUGGAUAGACGCCAUGGAUCUCCUAGAAGAAUGGAAGGAGAUGGUUCCAUCAGCUGGGUCCCACAUCCAAAAAACUACUUUGACUUUCAACACUUGGAUCACUACAACUGGAAUAGCACUUCCUCCAACCCCUUCCAGGCUACCUGUUCAUUCUUCAGUGUUCUUCAGUCUAUACGUAGCUGCUUUCAAGCUGUUCCUGGUUUGUUUAUAAAGAGAGAAAGAGAGUUUCUUCAAUUUUUGGCUCCUUCAAUAAUACUGGUUGUUAGCACCUAA
rnacentral:lncRNA from 1 species